rnacentral:rRNA from 1 species
UACGUAGGUCCCGAGCGUUGUCCGGAUUUAUUGGGCGUAAAGCGAGCGCAGGUGGUUUAUUAAGUCUGGUGUAAAAGGCAGUGGCUCAACCAUUGUAUGCUUUGGAAACUGGUAGACUUGAGUGCAGGAGAGGAGAGUGGAAUUCCAUGUGUAGCGGUGAAAUGCAUAGAUAUCACGCAGAACUCCGAUUGCGAAGGCAGCGUACCGGCAUCCAACUGACGCUGAGGCACGAAAGCGUGGGGAUCAAACAGG